AAGAAUGAUGAUACACUUAAAUGUAAGGCAUGAAACCAUAAAAAUCUUAGAAGAAAACAUAGGCAGUAAUAUCUCAGAUAUCUUAUGCAGUAAUAUGUUUACAGAUAAGCCUCCUAGGGCAAAGGAAACUAAGGAGAAAAUAAACAAAUGAAACUACAUCAAAAUAAAACACUUCUGCACAGCAAAAGAAACCAUCAACAAAUUGAAAACGGAGCCCAUUGCAUGGGAGAAC